AUGGCUGUCGUCAGCUCGUGUCGUGAGAUGUUGGGUUAAGUCCCGCAACGAGCGCAACCCUCAUCUUUAGUUGCCAUCAGUUAGGCUGGGCACUCUAGAGAAACUGCCUGCGAUGAGCAGGAGGAAGGCGGGGAUGACGUCAAGUCCUCAUGGCCCUUAUGGACUGGGCUACACACGUGCUACAAUGGCGGUGACAGUGGGAAGCGAUAGGGCGACCUGGAGCAAAUCCCCAAAAGCCGUCCCAGUUCGGAUUGUUCUCUGCAACUCGAGAGCAUGAAGUUGGAAUCGCUAGUAAUCGUAGAUCAGCAUGCUACGGUGAAUACGUUCCCGGGCCUUGUACACACCGCCCGUCACACCAUGGGAGUUGGUUUUACCCGAAGACGGUAUCCUAACCUUUUAGGAGGGAGCCGGCCACGGUAGGGUCAGCGACUGGGGUGAAGUCGUAACAAGGUAGCCGUAGGGGAACCUGCGGCUGGAUCACCUCCUUUCUAAGGAAAAACAAAGGGUGGGCACCUAUUGCCUGCCGCUGCCCAGCGAAUUUCUUCCAUUCAAACUUAAAUGGUACACGACAGCUACAGGCGCGUAGCUCAGUUGGUUAGAGCGCACGACUGAUAAUCGUGAGGUCGGCAGUUCAAAUCUGCCCGUGCCUACCAUCUGUUUAGCCGCCUUUGGCUUGCAAUCAUUUUUGUUUGGAAUAGUAAUGCUUAUUUAUUUUGUUUGUACGGCAACGGUCGUUCAACGAAAUACGCUGUUUGACAAAGUUAGUGAAGACAUCCAAGACCGCGGGAUUUAGCUGUGGCGAUUUCUGGUUUACUAGUAAAUCGUGCAACUAAUCCUGCAAGAAUAGCUUGCAGAUCGCAUGUGAGGGCUUUUGCCUUUACGUACGGUCUGAUCAAGCGUCUCUAAGGGCAUUUGGUGGAUGCCUUGGCGUUGAGAGGCGAUGAAGGACGUGACACGCUGCGAUAAGCCAUGGGGAGCUGCGAGUAAGCUUUGAUCCGUGGAUUUCCGAAUGGGGAAACCCGG
rnacentral:sRNA from 1 species